AGAGUUUGAUCAUGGCUCAGAUUGAACGCUGGCGGCAGGCCUAACACAUGCAAGUCGAACGGUAACAGAAAGCAGCUUGCUGCUUUGCUGACGAGUGGCGGACGGGGGAGUAAUGUCUGGGAAACUGCCUGAUGGAGGGGGAUAACUACUGGAAACGGUAGCUAAUACCGCAUAAUGUCGCAAGACCAAAGAGGGGGACCUUCGGGCCUCUUGCCAUCGGAUGUGCCCAGAUGGGAUUAGCUAGUAGGUGGGGUAAAGGCUCACCUAGGCGACGAUCCCUAGCUGGUCUGAGAGGAUGACCAGCCACACUGGAACUGAGACACGGUCCAGACUCCUACGGGAGGCAGCAGUGGGGAAUAUUGCACAAUGGGCGCAAGCCUGAUGCAGCCAUGCCGCGUGUAUGAAGAAGGCCUUCGGGUUGUAAAGUACUUUCAGCGGGGAGGAAGGGAGUAAAGUUAAUACCUUUGCUCAUUGACGUUACCCGCAGAAGAAGCACCGGCUAACUCCGUGCCAGCAGCCGCGGUAAUACGGAGGGUGCAAGCGUUAAUCGGAAUUACUGGGCGUAAAGCGCACGCAGGCGGUUUGUUAAGUCAGAUGUGAAAUCCCCGGGCUCAACCUGGGAACUGCAUCUGAUACUGGCAAGCUUGAGUCUCGUAGAGGGGGGUAGAAUUCCAGGUGUAGCGGUGAAAUGCGUAGAGAUCUGGAGGAAUACCGGUGGCGAAGGCGGCCCCCUGGACGAAGACUGACGCUCAGGUGCGAAAGCGUGGGGAGCAAACAGGAUUAGAUACCCUGGUAGUCCACGCCGUAAACGAUGUCGACUUGGAGGUUGUGCCCUUGAGGCGUGGCUUCCGGAGCUAACGCGUUAAGUCGACCGCCUGGGGAGUACGGCCGCAAGGUUAAAACUCAAAUGAAUUGACGGGGGCCCGCACAAGCGGUGGAGCAUGUGGUUUAAUUCGAUGCAACGCGAAGAACCUUACCUGGUCUUGACAUCCACGGAAGUUUUCAGAGAUGAGAAUGUGCCUUCGGGAACCGUGAGACAGGUGCUGCAUGGCUGUCGUCAGCUCGUGUUGUGAAAUGUUGGGUUAAGUCCCGCAACGAGCGCAACCCUUAUCCUUUGUUGCCAGCGGUCCGGCCGGGAACUCAAAGGAGACUGCCAGUGAUAAACUGGAGGAAGGUGGGGAUGACGUCAAGUCAUCAUGGCCCUUACGACCAGGGCUACACACGUGCUACAAUGGCGCAUACAAAGAGAAGCGAUCUCGCGAGAGCAAGCGGACCUCAUAAAGUGCGUCGUAGUCCGGAUUGGAGUCUGCAACUCGACUCCAUGAAGUCGGAAUCGCUAGUAAUCGUGGAUCAGAAUGCCACGGUGAAUACGUUCCCGGGCCUUGUACACACCGCCCGUCACACCAUGGGAGUGGGUUGCAAAAGAAGUAGGUAGCUUAACCUUCGGGAGGGCGCUUACCACUUUGUGAUUCAUGACUGGGGUGAAGUCGUAACAAGGUAACCGUAGGGGAACCUGCGGUUGGAUCACCU
rnacentral:rRNA from 2 species